UUGAACGCUGGCGGCAUGCCUUACACAUGCAAGUCGAACGGCAGCACGGGAGCAAUCCUGGUGGCGAGUGGCGAACGGGUGAGGAAUACAUCGGAAUCUACCCUGUCGGUGGGGAUAACGUAGGGAAACUUACGCUAAUACCGCAUACGAACUGAGGUUGAAAGCGGCGGACCGCAAGGCGUCGCGCGAUUGGAUGAGCCGAUGUCCGAUUAGCUAGUUGGCGGGGUAAUGGCCCACCAAGGCGACGAUCGGUAGCUGGUCUGAGAGGAUGAUCAGCCACACUGGAACUGAGACACGGUCCAGACUCCUACGGGAGGCAGCAGUGGGGAAUAUUGGACAAUGGGCGAAAGCCUGAUCCAGCCAUUCCGCGUGCAGGAUGAAGGCCCUCGGGUUGUAAACUGCUUUUGUACAGAACGAAAAGGUCUCUAUUAAUACUAGGGGCUCAUGACGGUACUGUAAGAAUAAGCACCGGCUAACUACGUG
rnacentral:rRNA from 1 species